UGGGGAAUAUUGCACAAUGGGGGAAACCCUGAUGCAGCGACGCCGCGUGAACGAAGAAGGUAUUCGUAUCGUAAAGUUCUGUCCUAUGGGAAGAUAAUGACAGUACCAUAGAAGAAAGCUCCGGCUAAAUACGUGCCAGCAGCCGCGGUAAUACGUAUGGAGCGAGCGUUGUCCGGAAUUAUUGGGCGUAAAGGGUACGCAGGCGGUUUAAUAAGUCGAAUGUUAAAGAUCGGGGCUCAACCCCGUAAAGCAUUGGAAACUGAUAAACUUGAGUGCAGAAGAGGAAAGUGGAAUUCCAUGUGUAGCGGUGAAAUGCGCAGAGAUAUGGAGGAACACCAGUGGCGAAGGCGACUUUCUGGUCUGUAACUGACGCUGAUGUGCGAAAGCGUGGGGAUCAAACAGG
rnacentral:rRNA from 1 species